GCGCCGUCCGAAGAAUCGUUGUCGCAGCCCACGCACAGGAGGCUUCGUGCUUCCUUCUUUCGCUGUGGGGAAAGUCCCCGGAGAUACAGAGCAUGUCCUUGAACAUUUCAUGGAAACCGACCGGCUCCAAGCACGACGGUACUGUUUUGGGACGGCGAGAACGACUUGGUCGGGGCCGCUGGUCUCGAUCUCCGUCUCUGCCACUCUGUCGCCCAGUCCAAGAACUGGCUAGUCGGCGAAGGCACGGGUGCGCAAAGAUAUGAGCAUGCCCGUUGCUCGGCUGGUUAGUUGGAGGAUGGGCACCCUGUUGCUCAUAGACAAAGUUAUACGAUUGUAGACCUGAAGUUUCUUCGGUCAUCAACUCAAUGGGGCUCACUCUCAUUCGGCG
rnacentral:RNase_MRP_RNA from 1 species